rnacentral:rRNA from 1 species
GGCGGGUCUAAGUAUAAGGCAAUUAUACCGUGAAACUGCGAAUGGCUCAUUAAAUCAGUUAUCGUUUAUUUGAUAAUACCUUACUACUUGGAUAACCGUGGUAAUUCUAGAGCUAAUACAUGCUGAAAAUCCCGACUUCGGAAGGGAUGUGUUUAUUAGAUAAAAAACCAAUGCCCUUCGGGGCUUUUUGGUGAUUCAUGAUAACUUUACGGAUCGCAUAGCCUUGCGCUGGCGACGGUUCAUUCAAAUUUCUGCCCUAUCAACUUUCGAUGGUAAGGUAUUGGCUUACCAUGGUUUCAACGGGUAACGGGGAAUUAGGGUUCGAUUCCGGAGAGGGAGCCUGAGAAACGGCUACCACAUCCAAGGAAGGCAGCAGGCGCGCAAAUUACCCAAUCCCGACACGGGGAGGUAGUGACAAUAAAUACUGAUACAGGGCUCUUUUGGGUCUUGUAAUUGGAAUGAGUACAAUUUAAACCUCUUAACGAGGAACAAUUGGAGGGCAAGUCUGGUGCCAGCAGCCGCGGUAAUUCCAGCUCCAAUAGCGUAUAUUAAAGUUGUUGCAGUUAAAAAGCUCGUAGUUGAAACUUGGGCCUGGCUGGCGGGUCCGCCUCACCGCGUGCACUCGUCCGGCCGGGCCUUCCUUCUGAAGAACCUCAUGCCCUUCACUGGGCGUGCUGGGGAAUCAGGACUUUUACUUUGAAAAAAUUAGAGUGUUCAAAGCAGGCCUUUGCUCGAAUACGUUAGCAUGGAAUAAUAAAAUAGGGCGUGCGUUUCUAUUUUGUUGGUUUCUAGAGACGCCGCAAUGAUUAACAGGAACAGUCGGGGGCAUCAGUAUUCAGUUGUCAGAGGUGAAAUUCUUGGAUUUACUGAAGACUAACUACUGCGAAAGCAUUUGCCAAGGAUGUUUUCAUUAAUCAGUGAACGAAAGUUAGGGGAUCGAAGACGAUCAGAUACCGUCGUAGUCUUAACCGUAAACUAUGCCGACUAGGGAUCGGGCGAUGUUCUUUUUCUGACUCGCUCGGCACCUUACGAGAAAUCAAAGUUUUUGGGUCUGGGGGAUUAUGGC